UCUAUUUCGACAUAGUUUCAGUUCCACCCCAGUCGUCGUUCGGAAAGGUUAGCUUAUUCCAGCGUUUCCGAAAGCCUUAAAAUCAGUUUUCGGAGUUAGAAGGUGAGCACACAUCUGUCCAGUGGUCACAGAGGUACAGGAGGCCCCGAGCCUUUGCAAAGGCAGGAACGACAGGGUUUGGCACCACAGGUGGAAAAGAAUCCAGUGACACAAAGCCCAGCACGUGGGAAUUCCUGGGUCAGGGACUGACCCACGCCGCAGAUGCAACCUGUGUGACCGCUGCAGCAGUGCCUCACGGGAACUACCUUGAAGAAUAUGCUUUGAAAACUGUGGCACAAUACACAGGUUCUCGUCUUCAGCCUGAGCAGGAGUGAGUGGCUCACUUCAGCCUCCACCCAGCCCAGCCGCGAAGAUCACGACUCUCGCCUCCACUGCGCAGGUGAAGAAACAGAGGCUCUCAGGACUGAAGGUCACCAAGCAGAGCUGGCCUCUGAGCCCGUGGGCACCUCUCAGCCCACAUGCUUGAAAUACCUUGCCUGGGAUGAUUGAAGAAAGUCUGCAAUUGGUAACCAAGAGUUUCUGUUAAUAUAACAAUUUACAUAAGCCAUAUCCUUAUCUCAGACACAAUUUUUUUUUUUUUUUUUUUUUUUUUGUCUUUUUGCUAUUUCUUGGGCCGCUCCUGCGGCAUAUGGAGGUUCCCAGGCUAGGGGUCGAAUCAGAGCUGUAGCCACUGGCCUACGCCAGAGCCACAGCAAUGUGGGAUCCAAGCCGCGUCUGUAACCUACACCACAGCUCACGGCAACGCCGGAUCGUUAACCCACUGAGCAAGGGCAGGGACUGAACCUGCAACCUCAUGGUUCCUAGUUGGAUUCGUUAACCACUGCGCCACGACGGGAACUUUUUUUUUUUUUAAAGCUUCUUUGUAGAGGCAGCUGAAGUUACAGAGUCUCCUAUUAGGAAACAAUCACUUUUCAGAAAAGAAGUCG
rnacentral:lncRNA from 1 species